UACAGAGACUGCAAGCGUUAUUCGGAUUCACUGGGCGUAAAGGGUGCGCAGGCGGCCGUGUGUGUCAGGUGUGAAAGCCCGGAGCUUAACUCCGGAAUUGCGCCUGAAACUACAUGGCUAGAGCAUUGGAGAGGGUAGCGGAAUUCACGGUGUAGCAGUGAAAUGCGUAGAUAUCGUGAGGAACACCAGAGGCGAAGGCGGCUGCCUGGACAAUUGCUGACGCUCAGGCACGAAAGCGUGGGGAGCAAAAGGG
rnacentral:rRNA from 1 species